AUUGGGUCUCACUAUGUUGCCCAGGCUGGUCUUGAACUUCUGGCAGAGUUGAAGCCAGGAGUUCGAGACCAGCCUGGGCAACAUAGUGAGAAGCCUGCC
rfam:Papio anubis isolate 1X1155 chromosome 12, whole genome shotgun sequence.